AGUUCUGAUUCCAAACAAGGACUUGUGGGAGUGGUAGAUGUUACCGUUUUGAGAGACCAAAAUGUACUUAACCAUCUUCCAUAUGAUUCAGAAGAAUACCUUUACAUCUCAGGAAUUGCUAUCUUGGAAAGUUUCAGGUUUAUGGUCCUUCCUAUUCUAUAAAUUUUAAUAUCCAUUUAUGCACUGUACAUAUUUGACUCAUAAUUAAACUAACAGGAGGAGAAAAAUAGCAACUGUGUUGCUAAAAGCUUGUGACAUGGUAUCGAGUCUAUGGGGUUUCGUCACAUAUAAAUCAUAACAUAGUUCAAUAAAUGCUUGAAUUGUUUUCUUUUUUGCAAGGAACAAAAAUGUAUUACAUCACUUGGGUUUUCUAGUUUAUGGUUCUUAUUCUUGGUAACAUGGGUUUGAUUCUCUUUGGUGGAGAAGCACUUAAGGUAAUGACCAACUCUUAUUAAACCAAAACAUGUUUAUAUAGACAUAUUAUGUAUAAAUUUAAAGAAAUUUCCCUUAUUCAUUCUCAAAACAUAGGAAGUUAAUUCAUUACUCAUUGGCCACCCAUUUGGGUGGUCUGAUUCUCUUAGUCUCGUGGUAUAGUACAACAUUAGAUUUAUUUCUUGUUUUUUUUUCAUUUCUUGGUUAUCUCUUUGGUCUUGGGAAAUAGGAAGCCCAAGUCUCUCUAACGAUAAUUUUGAUCUCUGUUUGUUAUUUCUCAGUUAAUUCCAAAUUCUUUUCUAAAUUCUUCACUUUAGAGCAAUUAUUAGCUUAUAUUUCAGUUUACAACAAUUGUUUCUGAAUGUGCCAACAUGAGAAGAGUUCACGAUGUAAGGAAUUUGGAUGAAUUAAAGUGUCAGACUUCAUUACUAGUUGUGUGACACCAAACCAUAUGGACCACACGAUAUUGUUUUUGAAUGUUUUGGAUGACCUUUUACAUUAUGAGAAAGGUUUUCUGUUGUUUUUGUUUGGUAUUUAUGAGAUAUUCUAUCUUGUGGGAAUAAAUUAUUGAAAGCCAGUUAAUAUAAGUGAAGUGAAUCUUCACAUAUGUCAGUUCAUUUGAUCUCAAUUGUCUUUUUAUAUCAGCACCUCUACCCACAUAUAAUUUUAAUAUAAUUAUUCUUUUUAUAUUGAAAGAUUAGGAAUAAGGAUCCAUCAACAAAAACAUUUUUCCAUUUAAGUAGGAAAGAAAAACAGAAAGUGUAUUUUCCUUAGACUUGGAGUAUGAAUGGUCAAUGGAUAAGGUAAUCUAAUUAUCUAGUGGAUAUCUUUGAUUCUCUUUAAUUCUCUGCUUGUAAUUUCUCUUUGAUUUUCUUUGUUUAAAGGUUCUUACUUUGUUUACUAGUAAUGUCUUCUAUCAUAGUUUUUUCUGGAUGUCAAGUAUUAUCAAUGUGCCUUCUUAUAACUCAUAUAUACGUAAAUGGAUUUCUCUGUCUAUGUUUUCACCUGGUAGAAUGUGAAGCAAGAGGUUAGUUAAAGUUUGAAUUUGAGAUUUGUUCCUUGAAUUACUUUUCAAUAAGUUGGUUUAGGUACUUUAUAAUUGUGGUACAGAUGAGUUGCGACAGGUGAGGCUUGCAGGAAAAUGGUUGCGACAGUGGGGACGCACUAGCGAGGGUCGUGCCGGCGAUGGAGUCGCGGUUGUGGGAGAGCAAAGGCGGGGUUGUGGGCUCGUGUGACUUGGGAGAACAGAGGCAGAAACAAAAUGGUACGUUUGGAUUUGUUUUUCUUUUUUCUGGGUUUAGCUUAAGGAAGGUGACGAGGACAACAUCGUGGUUCCCCUGAUUGAUCUUCUUUUGCAGUGUAAGGAAAAUGGAAUCAAUGGCAGAUGAAUUGGAUCCAUGUUGAACAAUCAUUGGUGAACACAGGAAAGGAAAGGGCAAAAGUCAGCCUUCUUUUUACAUGGGCGGCAAAAAAUGUCCAGUUAACAAUAAUUUCCGCAGCUGGUGUUAUGAUGCUCUAAAUGUGAUUAUUGUACCCUUCCUAAGACAAUUUCAUGAUUUAGGCUGACGGAGACAUUCAUACCCACUGAGACUAUUCAAAUACCCUGGAUUUCGAUGUUGGCAUUCACAAAGAACUCUCUAAUGGCAAUUAGCCCAACCUCCCUCCUCGUCUCCAGCAAGAUCUCCAAGUUAGAAGAAGAGCAAUAGAAUACGAAGCUCAAAAUAACUGAAAUGAUGAAUCUACUUAAAGAACACUUGGUGGUUGGUGGUAAAGUGACACCAAGCAAAGGACAGUCUCGCAAUGUACCGCAAUCAAACAAUAUUCAUUCCCCUAAGAGUAUUGCACUAGAAAAAAGAUAUAACUUUACAGAAGCGAAGAAUGCUUGUUGCUUGCUUGACUGGGCAGAUGUAAUUGUUGCUGAAGGUCGUUGAGAUUCUAGUGAUCCAAAGUUAACUGUACAUGGAAAGCCUCUUGGACCAGACUUUAUGCGAGUAUGGGUUGAUGCUGAUAUUGUACCAGAAUCUUACUUAUUUCGUCCUAAUAAUGCGAUGCUUACAAUACAAAAAGCAGUUGGUUCCACAGUUGCAUGGCCUUCUAAAAAAGUUAUUCCAAGAGAUGUGACAAGCGAAAUAGAAAAUGAUACUUAAUUUUGAAGGCUUUGUGUUGGGCAGCUGUAGAAUAUUUUGUGCUGAAAGUAGUAACUUUUCAAUAUGUUGAAUAUUUAAGACUACUUGAAUACUUAAAGAAUAUUUUGUUGUUGAUGACAGUGUUGAAUGUUUUGAACUAAUUUGUGGAUUGUUAAUACAAUGUUGAAUGUUUU